GCCAAUAGGAGGGCGUGUGAGAGGGUACCGUUCGCUCGGCCUCGCAUUGUUGCUCUGAGCUCCAGGAAGAUGUCCGCUCCCAUCAGCCGGCUGCUGCUCCUGUGUCUCCUGCCCCUGCUGGGGGCUCACGCUGGGGAUGGAGGGGGCAGGUACUCCCGGGAGAAGAACCAGGUCCCUGCAGACAGUGCGGAGUUCAGGAUCCUCA